rnacentral:misc_RNA from 1 species
UGCAAUACACAAGUUAAUAGCGGCAGGCGUAUCUCCUGGAACGCUUCCCAACUGACAUUAAAGCGGUAUUCGCUGUUCAGCAAUACCAAACGCCUGGUAGUUCAGACCUCACCACUCGGUCGCUUCUGUAUGGACACAAGAUGCAGCGGUUCGCUUAAGAAAAUGGCGACCAAAUCUUUUCCGAAGCUCACAGGGAUCCUUGUGCUUUUUGCGGCAGUCGUUGUAGGCCAAGGUGGCGAUGAGCAAAAAAUUUGUGAGCUGGGCACCACUUGGUGCUAUUGGAGUUUUGUUGAAAAAUACGGGGUACAUCCACUUCUUGACAAAGCUCAAGAAAAAGACAGCUAUCUGGCAAACCUAUGUUACAGCUAUCCAGACCGCUUUCUCGAGGACAACUAUUGCAUCCAAACGUUUUACGGAAACUGCACAGAUGCUGAAUUAACGAAGUUCGCUCGUAUGGAGCGUGGCUACGGCGUGCUUCGUGAAGAAAUCACCUCUGCAGAAAACUGCCAGUCUGUUGUGCAACUUCGUGAAUGCAUGAACCUGACCGCCAUCAGCACUUGUGAUCCCCGUCAAGGUCUUCUAGGUGCAGACUUCAAGGUUCAAGUGGACGCACAUCGGAGGGGGGCACAAAUCUUGAAGAGCUGCGUCGAGGAUGCAGUUAAACCCUGCGAAUGCCAAGAAGAACGAAGCCGCCAUAGCGCACUUGCAGAAUAUUGUUGACGCCGUUGUCGACCUCGCCUGGGGCAUAUGAUAAACCGAACGUUCACACAACGAAGGCAGCUACAGCAGUCGCCGCGGCAUCCCUGCUGAGUACUUGCCAUGGAGAUGCCCUGGUCGGCAAUGGCUCGUCGACGUCAUCUGAGCCGUGUGGGUCUUCCCCCAACUGGCCGCCAGAAUUAUACAAGUGGAUUUACGGCCCUCAUCGCAGCUCCUUUUUGGAUUUUAUGUGGACGACAGAGCUUCAUAUUCCUGUGUAACCUUGCCUUUUGAUGCCGUAGGGCCAAAUAACGCGAAAAAAAAAAAUAAAACAGUACGUGCUUUCUUCUUCUACCAACCAACGUGUUCGUGCCCUUUUGCGAUACUCGUGAGCCAAAGUGCCGCUUUUGUUGGCUAACAACCCUAUUCCAGAACUUGGCUCA